UACGUAGGGGGCAAGCGUUGUCCGGAAUCAUUGGGCGUAAAGCGCGUGUAGGCGGCCAUCCAAGUCCGAUGUGAAAGCUCGGGGCUCAACCCCGAGUCUGCAUUGGAAACUGGAUGGCUUGAGUCCGGAAGAGGAGACUGGAAUUCCUGGUGUAGCGGUGAAAUGCGCAGAUAUCAGGAAGAACACCGGUGGCGAAGGCGGGUCUCUGGGCCGAUACUGACGCUGAGGAGCGAAAGCGUGGGGAGCGAACAGG
rnacentral:rRNA from 1 species